rfam:Callithrix jacchus chromosome 4, whole genome shotgun sequence
GCCGGGCACGGUGGCUCAUGCCUGUAAUCCCAGCACUUUGGGAGGCCGAGGUGGGUGGAUCACCUGAGGUCAGGAGUUUGAGACCAUCCUGACCAAUAUGGUGACAUCCCAUCUCUA